AUUGAACGCUGGCGGCAGGCCUAACACAUGCAAGUCGAAUGGUAACAGGAAACAGCUUGCUGUUUCGCUGACGAGUGGCGGACGGGUGAGUAAUGUCUGGGAAACUGCCUGAUGGAGGGGGAUAACUACUGGAAACGGUAGCUAAUACCGCAUAACGUCGCAAGACCAAAGAGGGGGACCUUCGGGCCUCUUGCCAUCAGAUGUGCCCAGAUGGGAUUAGCUAGUAGGUGGGGUAACGGCUCACCUAGGCGACGAUCCCUAGCUGGUCUGAGAGGAUGACCAGCCACACUGGAACUGAGACACGGUCCAGACUCCUACGGGAGGCAGCAGUGGGGAAUAUUGCACAAUGGGCGCAAGCCUGAUGCAGCCAAGCCGCGUGUAUGAAGAAGGCCUUCGGGUUGUAAAGUACUUUCAGCGGGGAGGAAGGGAGUAAAGUUAAUACCUUUGCUCAUUGACGUUACCCGCAGAAGAAGCACCGGCUAACUCCGUG
rnacentral:rRNA from 1 species